rnacentral:rRNA from 2 species
UAAAGCGAUUCAGCGGGUUACGAUUGACGGAGCGAAGCGACGUCAAAGCGUAUACAAAGUCGAGUCGGUUUAAGGAUACGUUCGUUGGGUAGGGGAGCGUUCUGUAAGCCCGUGAAGGUGGCCUGUGAGGGUUGCUGGAGGUAUCAGAAGUGCGAAUGCUGACAUAAGUAACGAUAAAGCGGGUGAAAAGCCCGCUCGCCGGAAGACCAAGGGUUCCUGUCCAACGUUAAUCGGGGCAGGGUGAGUCGACCCCUAAGGCGAGGCCGAAAGGCGUAGUCGAUGGGAAACGGGUUAAUAUUCCCGUACUUGGUGUUACUGCGAAGGGGGGACGGAGAAGGCUAUGUUGGCCGGGCGACGGUUGUCCCGGUUUAAGCGUGUAGGUGUGUGUUCCAGGUAAAUCCGGUUCACUUUAACACUGAGGCGUGAUGACGAGGCACUACGGUGCUGAAGCAACAAAUGCCCUGCUUCCAGGAAAAGCCUCUAAGCAUCAGGUAACAUCAAAUCGUACCCCAAACCGACACAGGUGGUCAGGUAGAGAAUACCAAGGCGCUUGAGAGAACUCGGGUGAAGGAACUAGGCAAAAUGGUGCCGUAACUUCGGGAGAAGGCACGCUGACACGUAGGUGAAGUGAUUUACUCACGGAGCUGAAGUCAGUCGAAGAUACCAGCUGGCUGCAACUGUUUAUUAAAAACACAGCACUGUGCAAACACGAAAGUGGACGUAUACGGUGUGACGCCUGCCCGGUGCCGGAAGGUUAAUUGAUGGGGUCAGCGCAAGCGAAGCUCCUGAUCGAAGCCCCGGUAAACGGCGGCCGUAACUAUAACGGUCCUAAGGUAGCGAAAUUCCUUGUCGGGUAAGUUCCGACCUGCACGAAUGGCGUAAUGAUGGCCAGGCUGUCUCCACCCGAGACUCAGUGAAAUUGAACUCGCUGUGAAGAUGCAGUGUACCCGCGGCAAGACGGAAAGACCCCGUGAACCUUUACUAUAGCUUGACACUGAACAUUGAGCCUUGAUGUGUAGGAUAGGUGGGAGGCUUUGAAGUGUGGACGCCAGUCUGCAUGGAGCCGACCUUGAAAUACCACCCUUUAAUGUUUGAUGUUCUAACGUGGACCCGUAAUCCGGGUUGCGGACAGUGUCUGGUGGGUAGUUUGACUGGGGCGGUCUCCUCCUAAAGAGUAACGGAGGAGCACGAAGGUUGGCUAAUCCUGGUCGGACAUCAGGAGGUUAGUGCAAUGGCAUAAGCCAGCUUGACUGCGAGCGUGACGGCGCGAGCAGGUGCGAAAGCAGGUCAUAGUGAUCCGGUGGUUCUGAAUGGAAGGGCCAUCGCUCAACGGAUAAAAGGUACUCCGGGGAUAACAGGCUGAUACCGCCCAAGAGUUCAUAUCGACGGCGGUGUUUGGCACCUCGAUGUCGGCUCAUCACAUCCUGGGGCUGAAGUAGGUCCCAAGGGUAUGGCUGUUCGCCAUUUAAAGUGGUACGCGAGCUGGGUUUAGAACGUCGUGAGACAGUUCGGUCCCUAUCUGCCGUGGGCGCUGGAGAACUGAGGGGGGCUGCUCCUAGUACGAGAGGACCGGAGUGGACGCAUCACUGGUGUUCGGGUUGUCAUGCCAAUGGCACUGCCCGGUAGCUAAAUGCGGAAGAGAUAAGUGCUGAAAGCAUCUAAGCACGAAACUUGCCCCGAGAUGAGUUCUCCCUGAGACUUAGAGUCUCCUGAAGGAACGUUGAAGACGACGACGUUGAUAGGCCGGGUGUGUAAGCGCAGCGAUGCGUUGAGCUAACCGGUACUAAUGAACCGUGAGGCUUAACCUUACA